UACAGAGGGUGCGAGCGUUGUUCGGAAUUACUGGGCGUAAAGCGCGCGUAGGUGGUGUGUUAAGUCUGCCGGUCAAAUGCCGAGGCUCAACCUCGUUGCACGCCGGGGAUACUGGCACGCUAGAGACAAGUAGAGGCAAGCGGAAUUCCGGGUGUAGCGGUGGAAUGCGUAGAUAUCAGGAGGAACACCGAUGGCGAAGGCAGGUCUCUGGGCCACUACUGACGCUGAGAAGCGAAAGCAUGGGGAGCAAACAGG
rnacentral:rRNA from 1 species